ACGAACGCUGGCGGCGUGCUUCACCCCUGCCAGUCGAACGGAAAGGCCCUGCUUGCAGGGUCCUCGAGUGGCGAACGGGUGAGUAACACGUGGGUGAUCUGCCCUGCACUUCGGGAUAAGCCUGGGAAACUGGGUCUAAUACCGGAUAGGAGCCAUUUUUAGUGUGAUGGUUGGAAAGUUUUUUCGGUGUAGGAUGAGCUCGCGGCCUAUCAGCUUGUUGGUGGGGUAAUGGCCUACCAAGGCGGCGACGGGUAGCCGGCCUGAGAGGGUGGACGGCCACAUUGGGACUGAGAUACGGCCCAGACUCCUACGGGAGGCAGCAGUGGGGAAUAUUGCACAAUGGGCGCAAGCCUGAUGCAGCGACGCCGCGUGGGGGAUGACGGCCUUCGGGUUGGAAACUCCUUUCGCUAGGGACGAAGCUUUUUGUGACGGUACCUAGAUAAGAAGCACCGGCUAACUACGUG
rnacentral:rRNA from 1 species